rnacentral:piRNA from 1 species
CUUUCCAAUCUAAAUACUGCCCAGGUGA